UUCCAGACUCCUACGGGAGGCAGCAGUGAGGAAUAUUGGUCAAUGGGCGCGAGCCUGAACCAGCCAAGUAGCGUGAAGGAUGACUGCCCUACGGGUUGUAAACUUCUUUUAUAAAGGAAUAAAGUGAGGCACGUAUGCCUUUUUGUAUGUACUUUAUGAAUAAGGAUCGGCUAACUCCGUGCCAGCAGCCGCGGUAAUACGGAGGAUCCGAGCGUUAUCCGGAUUUAUUGGGUUUAAAGGGAGCGUAGAUGGGUUGUUAAGUCAGUUGUGAAAGUUUGCGGCUCAACCGUAAAAUUGCAAUUGAUACUGGCAGCCUUGAGUACAGUUGAGGUAGGCGGAAUUCGUGGUGUAGCGGUGAAAUGCUUAGAUAUCACGAAGAACCCCGAUUGCGAAGGCAGCCUGCCGCAGCGUUACUGACGCUGAAGCUCGAAAGCGCGGGUAUCGAACAGGAUUAGAUACCCUGGUA
rnacentral:rRNA from 1 species